rnacentral:rRNA from 1 species
AAAUUGAAGAGUUUGAUCAUGGCUCAGAUUGAACGCUGGCGGCAGGCCUAACACAUGCAAGUCGAACGGUAACAGGAAGAAGCUUGCUUCUUUGCUGACGAGUGGCGGACGGGUGAGUAAUGUCUGGGAAACUGCCUGAUGGAGGGGGAUAACUACUGGAAACGGUAGCUAAUACCGCAUAACGUCGCAAGACCAAAGAGGGGGACCUUCGGGCCUCUUGCCAUCGGAUGUGCCCAGAUGGGAUUAGCUUGUUGGUGGGGUAACGGCUCACCAAGGCGACGAUCCCUAGCUGGUCUGAGAGGAUGACCAGCCACACUGGAACUGAGACACGGUCCAGACUCCUACGGGAGGCAGCAGUGGGGAAUAUUGCACAAUGGGCGCAAGCCUGAUGCAGCCAUGCCGCGUGUAUGAAGAAGGCCUUCGGGUUGUAAAGUACUUUCAGCGGGGAGGAAGGGAGUAAAGUUAAUACCUUUGCUCAUUGACGUUACCCGCAGAAGAAGCACCGGCUAACUCCGUGCCAGCAGCCGCGGUAAUACGGAGGGUGCAAGCGUUAAUCGGAAUUACUGGGCGUAAAGCGCACGCAGGCGGUUUGUUAAGUCAGAUGUGAAAUCCCCGGGCUCAACCUGGGAACUGCAUCUGAUACUGGCAAGCUUGAGUCUCGUAGAGGGGGGUAGAAUUCCAGGUGUAGCGGUGAAAUGCGUAGAGAUCUGGAGGAAUACCGGUGGCGAAGGCGGCCCCCUGGACGAAGACUGACGCUCAGGUGCGAAAGCGUGGGGAGCAAACAGGAUUAGAUACCCUGGUAGUCCACGCCGUAAACGAUGUCGACUUGGAGGUUGUGCCCUUGAGGCGUGGCUUCCGGAGCUAACGCGUUAAGUCGACCGCCUGGGGAGUACGGCCGCAAGGUUAAAACUCAAAUGAAUUGACGGGGGCCCGCACAAGCGGUGGAGCAUGUGGUUUAAUUCGAUGCAACGCGAAGAACCUUACCUGGUCUUGACAUCCACGGAAGUUUUCAGAGAUGAGAAUGUGCCUUCGGGAACCGUGAGACAGGUGCUGCAUGGCUGUCGUCAGCUCGUGUUGUGAAAUGUUGGGUUAAGUCCCGCAACGAGCGCAACCCUUAUCCUUUGUUGCCAGCGGUCCGGCCGGGAACUCAAAGGAGACUGCCAGUGAUAAACUGGAGGAAGGUGGGGAUGACGUCAAGUCAUCAUGGCCCUUACGACCAGGGCUACACACGUGCUACAAUGGCGCAUACAAAGAGAAGCGACCUCGCGAGAGCAAGCGGACCUCAUAAAGUGCGUCGUAGUCCGGAUUGAGUCUGCAACUCGACUCCAUGAAGUCGGAAUCGCUAGUAAUCGUGGAUCAGAAUGCCACGGUGAAUACGUUCCCGGGCCUUGUACACACCGCCCGUCACACCAUGGGAGUGGGUUGCAAAAGAAGUAGGUAGCUUAACCUUCGGGAGGGCGCUUACCACUUUGUGAUUCAUGACUGGGGUGAAGUCGUAACAAGGUAACCGUAGGGGAACCUGCGGUUGGAUCACCUCCUUACCUUAAAGAAGC